CUUGGCUAGUGCAGUUCUCUGGAAGAGCUGUGCGGGUUCUCCUCGACUAUGUCAAUCAUGUUCUCAUCUGCUCCAAGCUGAAAAUGGUUCUAAAGAGUCAUAAAGAGUGGGCUGAAAUAUCAGAAAUAUUAGGAAAUCCUCGUUCACUGCAACACCAAUGCAGACUUGCCAUCAGGAGAGAGAUGACUCCACUAAGGUUGGGUGACCCAAAGUUCAUUAACUCAGGUCCUUUCCCACCAGGACUGAAAAGCUACUUGAUGUACAAAGAAUAUGAUUUGUAUGGACGAAUCAUGUAUCAGGAGUGAUGGUCUCUCAGGGUAAAGGUUAAGGAGAAAGCACUUUGAGUUUUAUUCAAAUUAACAUGAGGUUGACAUGACCAGAGGUUUCGCUAGUUGUCCAUCAUGAGUUCAAAACACUUAAAAAUGUGAAUGUUAAGUGUUUUUAACACUUCACAUUGAACACUACAAUGUGAAUUUUGCAUCACUUCCAAAGGACUUUGCCUCCAAAGCAAUGUCUUGGUGCUAGGGCUGGGUAUCGUUCAAAAAUUUUCGAUAUCGAUACCGAUACCUUGACUUCAAUACCGGUUCCUGAACGAUACUUUUUUCGAUACCAAUUUUAUGAAAUCAAUUUGAACAAGAUUACAUUAUCUAAAAAAAAAAAAAAAAACUUUGCUUUUAUUUUUCAGCUUGUUGAUGUUUAUACAAACUCAAAGACUCAUCUCCUGAGCCACUGCACAAAAGAACAAAAUGUAACCAACACAAUAAAUCAGUGCAAAUAGUUUUAAUAAAGCUCAAAUAGUCUUCAGUUUACACAUCUGUUAGGCUACAUUUACACUAGUGCGUGUUCGUUUUAAAACGCAUAGCUCAGACAUAAUCAUGAUUUCUAUUUAUUUUCCACUGAUUUACUGAUGAGCAUUAGCAGCUUCCAGCGCUGUCUGCUUGUGUUCUCUCUUCCAUGAUCGCUGCUCUGACUAAUUAGGAGGUAAUAUCAUAUUUAAUUUAAGCAACAUUACAUGGCCAAAACACACAGACCGCAAUCGGAAGUUAUUACAAACACUCGAUGGUGGUUUAAAGUGAGCUUUGAGUAAAAGCGGAAUAUAAAUCUUAUUUAUUGUCUUAUGUAGCAUGAUGCUACAGUUUGCAUGAAUGGUCACAUAGAACGCGCUUUCGGUCGUGUAACGUUAGUAUGAACGGACAUCUGCAUAUGAUCGGAACUCCACGCAGCUCCCGCGCUACUCUCCAUUGGAAAUGAAUGACUGAAUGACCGGUCUGUUGCUUGUCAUUUGUUGGAGAUAGUGGAAAGCCAGCUUGAAACAUAGUGGAAACGCUAGUAUGACCAGGAUCGUUUUCAUUUUAGAACAUAAACGCACCAGUGAUAAAGUAGCCUUACAUCUAAGGGGGCUGGGACGUUAACCGGUGUUAACUAGUAGGUGUGUUCGACUUGACGCAGACUGACUGUGAAGACCGAUCGGUGUAUUACAGUAUCACGAGAGAUAAAGAGAGCAGACUGCUUCCGCACGCAUUAGAAUCGCUCUCGCGGAUGUCAAACACUGAUCGAUCUGCGCCGCGCCUCUAGUCGAACACACCGGGCUAGUGCUGCAGGCUUGUUGGCUCACUGACACUGAUGAGAUUCACCCCUUAGGUAUCGAAAUUUGGUACCAAACGACGAGACGUUUUUUUGAUACUUGAUGGUAUCAAGGCAUUUCGGUCGGUGCCUAAAAAGUAUCGAACUCGAUACCCAGCCCUACUUGGUGCUAUUUGUGCAAUGAAAUAAUGUUCUAGCUGACAAAAACAUGUUUUUAUCAGAUAAAAAUAAAAAGGUUGAUGCCUGUUCUAUGAAGUCAGACUGCUUUCCACUCAGUACCACCUACUAGUGUACAAUCAAGAUGUUCCAUUUGUUUUCAUUUUAACUUUUAAUACAGCACUUUAUCAAC
ensembl:lncRNA